rnacentral:rRNA from 1 species
CCCUUAGAUGUUCUGGGCCGCACGCGUGCUACACUGAGUGGAUCAGCGGGUCAGGUUGCGCGAAAGCGUUUCCUAAUCUUUAAAUCCGCUCGUGAUGGGGAUUGACGGUUGCAAUUUUCUGUCAUGAACGAGGAAUACCUUGUAAGCGCGGGUCAUCAUCCCGCGCUGAAUACGUCCCUGCCCUUUGUACACACCGCCCGUCGCACCUACCGAUUGAAUGGUCCGGUGAAAUCUUAGGACUGCGACUUUGUCUCGUUCAUUCAAGACGCUGUCGCGGGAAUUUGAUUAAACCUUACCAUUUAGAGGAAGGUGAAGUCGUAACA